UACGUAGGGGGCAAGCGUUGUCCGGAAUCAUUGGGCGUAAAGCGCGUGUAGGCGGCUCGAUAAGUCUGCUGUGAAAAGUCCAGGGCUCAACCCCUGGGGAUGCCGGUGGAUACUGUCGAGCUCGAGUCCGGAAGAGGCGAGUGGAAUUCCUGGUGUAGCGGUGAAAUGCGCAGAUAUCAGGAGGAACACCAAUGGCGAAGGCAGCUCGCUGGGACGGUACUGACGCUGAGACGCGAAAGCGUGGGGAGCAAACAGG
rnacentral:rRNA from 1 species